GGAGAGGUGGCCGAGUGGUUUAAGGCACUAGUCUUGAAAACUGGCAUACCGUAAGGUAUCGAGGGUUCGAAUCCCUCCCUCUCCG
rnacentral:tRNA from 1 species